UUUACAGAUGAGGUCACUGAGGCACAGAAAAGUGAGGUCCAUUGCAGGUGACGCUGUUGAAACUGCCCUCCGUGGUCUGCCCAAGUUUAACCACCAGUCAGGUCUGUAAUCCUUCAGGACGGAGUGACGUCUGCCGUCCUCCUAUGUGGCAAGACUCUUCCCGUCCUCCGAAAGCCAUGUUGGUCUUCAUCCCAGUUUUCCACCGUGCCUAGCCGGGAAACAGUUCCUGGGGAGGACGCUCCCUCCGAGGCGGAACUGCGUCGCCGCACCGAGCUCUCCGCUGCCGGUCAAAAUCUUUCUGGAUUCCUGCUUUCCCGCCUGCAGGCCGGUAGGCUGGCAACGAGGGCAUAUCACUCCUGCUGAGACCACCGGAGACAUCAUGUGGCUACCAUGGUUGGCAUCACCAUCAGAGGAACGAAAUGGAGGCACAGAGAAGUCACG